rnacentral:rRNA from 1 species
UACGGGGGGAGCAAGCGUUGUUCGGAUUUACUGGGCGUAAAGGGCGCGUAGGCGGCCACCGCAAGUCAGUUGUGAAAUCUCUGGCUUAACCCAGAACGGUCAGCUGAUACUGCGGGGCUAGAGUGCAGAAGGGGCAACUGGAAUUCUCGGUGUAGCGGUGAAAUGCGUAGAUAUCGAGAGGAACACCUGCGGCGAAGGCGGGUUGCUGGGCUGACACUGACGCUGACAGCGCGAAAGCUAGGGGAGCGAACGGG